rnacentral:rRNA from 1 species
AGUGAACGCUGGCGGUAGGCCUAACACAUGCAAGUCGAACGGCAGCACAGUAAGAGCUUGCUCUUACGGGUGGCGAGUGGCGGACGGGUGAGGAAUACAUCGGAAUCUACUUUUUCGUGGGGGAUAACGUAGGGAAACUUACGCUAAUACCGCAUACGACCUACGGGUGAAAGCAGGGGAUCUUCGGACCUUGCGCGAUUGAAUGAGCCGAUGUCGGAUUAGCUAGUUGGCGGGGUAAAGGCGCACCAAGGCGACGAUCCGUAGCUGGUCUGAGAGGAUGAUCAGCCACACUGGAACUGAGACACGGUCCAGACUCCUACGGGAGGCAGCAGUGGGGAAUAUUGGACAAUGGGCGCAAGCCUGAUCCAGCCAUACCGCGUGGGUGAAGAAGGCCUUCGGGUUGUAAAGCCCUUUUGUUGGGAAAGAAAAGCAGCAGGUUAAUACCCCGCUGUUCUGACGGUACCCAAAGAAUAAGCACCGGCUAACUUCGU